rnacentral:rRNA from 1 species
CCCUUAGAUGUUCUGGGCCGCACGCGCGCUACACUGAUGCAUUCAACGAGUCUAAAACCUGCUCUGAUAGGGGUGGGUAAUCUUUUGAAUGUGCAUCGUGAUUGGGAUAGAUGAUUGAAAUUUUUCAUCUUCAACGAGGAAUGCCUAGUAAACGCAAGUCAUCAGCUUGCAUUGAUUACGUCCCUGCCCUUUGUACACACCGCCCGUCGCUCCUACCGAUUGAAUGAUCCGAUGAAUAUCAUGGAUUGAGGAUGCAAGUAGGUUCACCUAUCUUCAUCUUCGAGAAGUGAAGUAAAUCUUAUCAUUUGGAGGAAGGAGAAGUCGUAACA